rnacentral:rRNA from 1 species
AUGGUUAAGUUAGAAAGGGCGCACGGUGAAUGCCUUGGCACUAGGAGCCGAUGAAGGACGGGACUAACACCGAUAUGCUUCGGGGAGCUGUAAGUGAGCUUUGAUCCGGAGAUUUCCGAAUGGGGAAACCCGCUGUUCGUAAUGGAACAGUAUCUUUAUCUGAAUACAUAGGAUAUUGAAGGCAGACCCGGGGAACUGAAACAUCUAAGUACCCGGAGGAAGAGAAAGCAAAUGCGAUUUCCUGAGUAGCGGCGAGCGAAACGGAAUUAGCCCAAACCAAGAGGCUUGCCUCUUGGGGUUGUAGGACACUCUAUACGGAGUUACAAAGGAACGAAGUAAAUGAAGCGACCUGGAAAGGUCCGUCGAAGAAGGUAACAACCCUGUAGUUGAAACUUCGUUCCCUCUUGAGUGGAUCCUGAGUACGGCGGAACACGUGAAAUUCCGUCGGAAGCUGGGAGGACCAUCUCCCAAGGCUAAAUACUACCUAGUGACCGAUAGUGAACCAGUACCGUGAGGGAAAGGUGAAAAGCACCCCGGAAGGGGAGUGAAAGAGAUCCUGAAACCGUGUGCCUACAAGUAGUCAGAGCCCGUUAACGGGUGAUGGCGUGCCUUUUGUAGAAUGAACCGGCGAGUUACGAUCCCAUGCAAGGUUAAGCCGAUAAGGCGGAGCCGUAGCGAAAGCGAGUCUGAAUAGGGCGUUUAGUAUGUGGUUGUAGACCCGAAACCAGGUGAUCUACCCAUGUCCAGGGUGAAGUUCAGGUAACACUGAAUGGAGGCCCGAACCCACGCACGUUGAAAAGUGCGGGGAUGAGGUGUGGGUAGCGGAGAAAUUCCAAUCGAACCUGGAGAUAGCUGGUUCUCUCCGAAAUAGCUUUAGGGCUAGCCUCAUGUUGUGAGAGUCUUGGAGGUAGAGCACUGAUUGGACUAGGGGCCCCCAACGGGUUACCGAAUUCAGUCAAACUCCGAAUGCCAAAGACUUAUCCAUGGGAGUCAGACUGCGAGUGAUAAGAUCCGUAGUCAAAAGGGAAACAGCCCAGACCACCAGCUAAGGUCCCCAAGUAUACGUUAAGUGGAAAAGGAUGUGGAGUUGCUUAGACAACCAGGAUGUUGGCUUAGAAGCAGCCACCAUUUAAAGAGUGCGUAAUAGCUCACUGGUCGAGUGACUCUGCGCCGAAAAUGUACCGGGGCUAAACGUAUCACCGAAGCUGUGGAUUGACAUCUUUGAUGUCAGUGGUAGGAGAGCGUUCUAAGUGCUGUGAAGUCAGACCGUAAGGACUGGUGGAGCGCUUAGAAGUGAGAAUGCCGGUAUGAGUAGCGAAAGACAAGUGAGAAUCUUGUCCACCGAAUGCCUAAGGUUUCCUGAGGAAGGCUCGUCCGCUCAGGGUUAGUCGGGACCUAAGCCGAGGCUGAAAAGCGUAGGCGAUGGCCAACAGGUUGAUAUUCCUGUACCACCUCCCCGCCGUUUGAGUAAUGGGGGGACGCAGUAGGAUAGGGUAAGCGCGCUGCUGGAUAUGCGCGUUCAAGCAGUUAGGCUGAUGAGUAGGCAAAUCCGCUCAUCAUAAAGGCUGAGCUGUGAUGACGAGGGAAUUAUAGUACCGAAGUUCCUGAUUCCACACUGCCAAGAAAAGCCUCUAGCGAGGCGGGAGGUGCCCGUACCGCAAACCGACACAGGUAGGCGAGGAGAGAAUCCUAAGGUGAUCGAGAGAACUCUCGUUAAGGAACUCGGCAAAAUGACCCCGUAACUUCGGGAGAAGGGGUGCUCUGGUAGGGUGUAUAGCCCGAGAGAGCCGCAGUGAAUAGGCCCAGGCGACUGUUUAGCAAAAACACAGGUCUCUGCGAAGCCGCAAGGCGAAGUAUAGGGGCUGACGCCUGCCCGGUGCUGGAAGGUUAAGAGGAGGGGUUAUCCUUUGGGAGAAGCUCUGAAUCGAAGCCCCAGUAAACGGCGGCCGUAACUAUAACGGUCCUAAGGUAGCGAAAUUCCUUGUCGGGUAAGUUCCGACCCGCACGAAAGGCGUAACGAUCUGGGCACUGUCUCAACGAGAGACUCGGUGAAAUUAUAGUACCUGUGAAGAUGCAGGUUACCCGCGACAGGACGGAAAGACCCCGUGGAGCUUUACUGUAGCCUGAUAUUGAAUUUUGGUACAGCUUGUACAGGAUAGGUAGGAGCCUGAGAAGCCGGAGCGCUAGCUUCGGUGGAGGCGUCGGUGGGAUACUACCCUGGCUGUAUUGAAAUUCUAACCCGCGGCCCUGAUCGGGCCGGGAGACAGUGUCAGGUGGGCAGUUUGACUGGGGCGGUCGCCUCCUAAAAUGUAACGGAGGCGCCCAAAGGUUCCCUCAGAAUGGUUGGAAAUCAUUCGUAGAGUGUAAAGGCACAAGGGAGCUUGACUGCGAGACCUACAAGUCGAGCAGGGACGAAAGUCGGGCUUAGUGAUCCGGUGGUUCCGCAUGGAAGGGCCAUCGCUCAACGGAUAAAAGCUACCCCGGGGAUAACAGGCUUAUCUCCCCCAAGAGUCCACAUCGACGGGGAGGUUUGGCACCUCGAUGUCGGCUCAUCGCAUCCUGGGGCUGUAGUCGGUCCCAAGGGUUGGGCUGUUCGCCCAUUAAAGCGGUACGCGAGCUGGGUUCAGAACGUCGUGAGACAGUUCGGUCCCUAUCCGUCGUGGGCGUAGGAAAUUUGAGAGGAGCUGUCCUUAGUACGAGAGGACCGGGAUGGACACACCGCUGGUGUACCAGUUGUCUUGCCAAAGGCAUCGCUGGGUAGCUAUGUGUGGACGGGAUAAGUGCUGAAAGCAUCUAAGCAUGAAGCCCCCCUCAAGAUGAGAUUUCCCAUAGCGCAAGCUAGUAAGAUCCCUGAAAGAUGAUCAGGUUGAUAGGUCAGAGGUGGAAGCGUGGCGACAUGUGUAGCUGACUGAUACUAAUCGAUCGAGGACUUAACCAAAC